rnacentral:rRNA from 1 species
CCCCAAAGUAAGGGAUAAGCCACCGAAAGGUGGUCUAAUACCUUAUAGUAUCCAUCUCGUAUGGAUUAAAGCUUUAUGCGCUUUGGGAGGGGCCUGCGCUUGAUUAGCUAGUUGGUGAGGUAAAAGCUCACCAAGGCGACGAUCAAUAGCUGGUUUGAGAGGAUGACCAGCCACACUGGGACUGAGAUACGGCCCAGACUCCUACGGGAGGCAGCAGUAAGGAAUCUUCCACAAUGGGGCAACCCUGAUGGAGCAAUACCGCGUGCAGGAUGAAGCGUUUCGGCGUGUAAACUGCUUUUAUCACCGAAGAUUAUGACUGUAGGUGAAGAAUAAGGACUGGCUAACUACGUG